AUGUUGUGAAAACCUUUUUGUAGGUUCUUUUUUAUUUAAAUAGUGCCAAAUUCAAAAAUAAAAGGAAAAAGAUGCUUGUACGCUCGUUAGAUUUGCUAACUCAAUUGAUACUACUGUGUCUAGAUCAGUGUUCCCGAUUCCUCGCUGCAUACUUCAAUGAGAAAGGAAAAGAGCUUUGUUGCAUGCUUCUUCGGGUGUGGUUGCAAGAUCUCGCUUUCAGUUCGAAAUGUGUACGUAGCUUCCUUGUACAAUAGCUCUCUCAUUUCACUUGUUUGUAUUUCUAGGUUCUCACCAUGAAGGCGCUCCUAUUGCGGUCACCUAGAAUGAUAAAUUUGAUGACACAUACUCUCCUUAUGUGCAAUAUCCACUGUUGGAAAAGACAAGGAGUAUUUACAUGUGGAUGUACUGAUCCUAUAAUCUAAAGAACCUACAUUUGUUUUUCUCUAAAACUCUAAAGAUGUCAAUGCCUGAAACUAGAUAUAAUCUUUUUUAUUAGUCCAUAAACCUUGCAUAAUUGGAUAUUUAUUUAUAAAAAAGAAAAAGAAAAGAAAACUUGCACAAUUUGAUUAUACAGGCCUGUUGAUUUGGCUGGUUUAGUUCUGAACCCUCAUUCAGUUUGGUCUGGUUUGAUUUAAUCUGGUUAGGGAUUUAGGUCCGAAAAGUUUGUACAUGGUUCAGUCAAUUUGAAUAGGUCCAGGAUUGAAACCAAAUUUACUUGGUUAGGAUUUGUGUUUAUCUAUGGACAGCUUCUCUUGGUUGGUCUUGUUUUUCUUUUCAUUUGUGAAAACCUUCUUGUGGUUUAGUUGAUCACAUAAGCUAGCUGGCGAGCCAAUACUAGGUGUUGGAUGUGGAUAAUAUUGAAUGGGUGUAUGAUACUACCUUCAGGUGUCAUGUGUACAGGUUCGAACCUGUCCUGUUUUGCUGGUUAUUUUUUAGGGACAGCCUGAUGGAUUUUUUAUUGAGCUAUUUCUUGGAAGAAAUUUGCAUAACUUUCAAUUGUGAAAGAGUUUGCACUAGCUUAACAGCUCAAGUAAAUGAUGGUCAUGUAAUGACAUUUUACUUGUUUGUAUUUUAGCUUUUGAUCCUGAAGGCACGCCUACUGUGAUCUUCAAGAAUGAUAAAUUUGAUGACGCGUAUUAAGUUUCUCUGAUAAUGUUAUCAGUGGAAGUGGCACUGGAUGUCCAUGAUCUUCAAAAGUUUAAUUAAUAUUUGAACUUUGAUCGAGGGAUGAGUACCUUGAUAUAUGUUGUGUUGGAGAUGACAUUUUCAAUGGUGUUGUAAGCUGUCUAUAAAAGGUCGUUUGGAACUAGAGUAAAUAUAUUUUCCAUAAUAUUGUUCAGGUUUUGAAGUUAUAACGUUCUGAUGACAUGAUUUUUGACAUAAACUCUGCAGCAUUACAGUGGUCUUUUUUGUUGUUUCUGAUCGUAGUUAUCUUGAGUUGUAGUUGUUUGAUAGCUCCUCUGCAGCACCUCCCUUCAGAUGCUGUUAUUAGCUAUUCAUUGAGCUCGUUCCCAUUGCAUAUUUAAAAUUAAUUAAAACAUUGUUUCGUUUGCUUGCUUUGAUGGUUAACUUGUGCAGGUUAGCAUUUAGUUUGCCUUUCUUUUUGAGCUAUUUCAGUACAGGUGGUGAAUCAACUGGUAAGGUCCUAGAUCAGAUAUCAUGCUGAUGCUCCUCUGGUUAAUAGCUCUGCCAUACUACAAAGCAUGUGUCCACCACUCUGUAAUCCUUGAAGAUGAAAAGGCAUUCCCAUGUCCUUGUGGAGAAUAACCAUUGGAUCAGAUCUGCAAUAACAAUGAGCUUGGGUUUCAGGUGACAUCUCAAGUCAGCUUCCAGGAACUGGUCAGAUUUGAUACCGUGAGCAUCUUUCUCUGCAGGUUUGCGUGACUGCUAUAGUUGUGCUAAAGCAGGGAAGUCAUUCAAUUAUUUUUACCACCUCCAUUCCAGUAGGAAAGCAAAGGGAGAAUCUGCCAUCUACUUCUGUUUCUAAUUUUUCACAACGUAAUCAUGCUUAAUCGAUAUAAUUGCUGCAGAUUUGAGUAAAGUUGCUGCAAGAGUUCCAAACAGCGAUAUAUUUCUAGGAAAUAGUGGUGGAUAUUCUUUAAAUGUGACAUUAUGCUGCCAGAAAACAUCUAAGACCCAGACUUCAUAUUAUUUAAUCGAACAAUCAUGAAGAAGAAAGACACUAUCAAAUCUGUAGGGAAGCUGAACAUGUUGCUACCUCUAUUCAUAUUCUUCUUCCUUUUCUUGUUGGUCAAAAUUUUAGAUCCUAUUGAUCUAGAGUAACUACUAGGUGAAGUAGCUUUACUUGUGGGGGUAGAGAUCUGCGGUUAUAGCCUUGAUUUUGAAUAUUUAGAGGCCUCAGGCAUAAGUAUGACAUGUCUGGCUUCGCAUUUGGGAUGAAAAAUUAGGUGUCAUUCUUGACUUAAUGAGCAAAAAUUUGUUUUCCUUUAUAAGAAGUAAGUUGCUUUCUUGACAACAGAGGUUUCUCCGAUGGUCAAGGUUGUGGGUUUGAGUCACCAAAGGAUCGAUAACUCCAACAAGAGGGGGAUCAAAGAGGAAUAAAAAAAAAAGUUGCUUUCUUAGCGACUUCAUUUUGAAAUUUCUUUGCUCUCUUUUGCAGUUUCCUUUCUCUUUAGGAUAUACUUGAAACGAAUUUCGUUGAACAUUGUUACUGUCAAAUUGCAUUAGAUCUGGAAGAUGCUUCAAUCAGGCAGUUUGCUCUUUUCCAACUUAAAUUUGAAUGUCCCUUGAGGACUUGAGAUUGACUUGUGGGAUCGGAUACAGAAAUUUACAGUUGAAGUUGCGUCAGCCCAGCACCUGAUAAAGAAGGCCAAAACCAUUUUGAUUCAACUGUGCGGGCCUUGUUUUUUUAUUCGUUCUAAGUUAAUGGAGAAGUAAAUCUGCUCUAAGUUAUAUUACAAUUCUUUAGUUUGUAACUAAGAUUCGUUUUACUUACAAUUCUUGAACUAUUGGCCAACAUGUGCAUAUGAAUCGA